rfam:Cucumis melo, WGS project CAJI01000000 data, contig: 09872
AGUUUUGUUUGGUGAGCCAAAGAUGACUUGCCUUAAUAUAAGAAACAUAUAAUAUAAAUGGGAGAGCUUUAAGUAUAUAUGAAGCUUUCAUUGUUUCAUAUUUAAGUUGGCAAGUUAUCUUUGGCUUACUUCAUAAACUUU